rnacentral:rRNA from 1 species
GGUGGGGGAUGAUGGCGGGGGAAGAGGGCGGGAAUGGCGACGGCGGAGCGGUGCGGCGGGCCGGGAGCCUCCCCGUUCAGGGGCAUGAUGCCGCUCAUGGCCUGGAUGGCGAGGUCAUAGCCGGCUAGUUAGGUAGUGCCUCAAGGAUUGCCUGCGGGGGUAGAGCACUGUUUAGGCUAGGGGGUCAUGGCGACUUACCAAACCUAUGCAAACUCCGAAUACCGACGAGUACAGCUUGGGAGACAGAGCACCGGGUGCUAACGUCCGGACUCAAGAGGGAAACAACCCAGACCGCCAGCUAAGGUCCCUAAAAUUGGCUAAGUGGGAAACGAAGUGGGAAGGCUAAAACAGUCAGGAUGUUGGCUUAGAAGCAGCCAUCAUUUAAAGAAAGCGUAAUAGCUCACUGAUCGAGUCGUCCUGCGCGGAAGAUGUAACGGGGCUAAGCCAGUUACCGAAGCUGCGGAUUUGCAAUUUAUUGCAAGUGGUAGGAGAGCGUUCUGUAAGCCUGUGAAGGUGGAUUGUGAAGUCUGCUGGAGGUAUCAGAAGUGCGAAUGCUGACAUGAGUAGCGUUAAAGGGGGUGAAAAGCCCCCUCGCCGUAAGCGCAAGGUUUCCUACGCAACGUUCAUCGGCGUAGGGUGAGUCGGCCCCUAAGGCGAGGCAGAGAUGCGUAGCUGAUGGGAAACAGGUCAAUAUUCCUGUACCGAUUACAAGUGCGAUGUGGGGACGGAGAAGGUUAGCUCAGCCAACUGUUGGAUAUGUUGGUUCAAGCCUGUAGUCAUGCCUGGUAGGCAAAUCCGCCGGGCUUAGAUGAGGGGUAAUAACGAGUCUGCUUGCAGACGAAGUGAGUGAUACCCUGCUUCCAGGAAAAGCCACUAAGCUUCAGCUUGUAAUUGACCGUACCGCAAACCGACACUGGUGCGCGAGAUGAGUAUUCUAAGGCGCUUGAGAGAACUCUGGAGAAGGAACUCGGCAAAUUGACACCGUAACUUCGGGAGAAGGUGUGCCCUCAGUAGGUGAACCUGUACAAGGGGAGCCCAAAGGGGUUGCAAAGAAUAGGUGGCUGCGACUGUUUAUUAAAAACACAGCACUCUGCAAACACGAAAGUGGACGUAUAGGGUGUGACGCCUGCCCGGUGCUGGAAGGUUAAUUGAUGGGGUUAGCUUCGGCGAAGCUCUUGAUCGAAGCCCCAGUAAACGGCGGCCGUAACUAUAACGGUCCUAAGGUAGCGAAAUUCCUUGUCGGGUAAGUUCCGACCUGCACGAAUGGCGUAACGAUGGCCACACUGUCUCCUCCAGAGACUCAGCGAAGUUGAAAUGUUUGUGAUGAUGCAAUCUCCCCGCGGAAAGACGGAAAGACCCCAUGAACCUUUACUGUAGCUUUGUAUUGAAUUUUGAACAGACCUGUGUAGGAUAGGUGGGAGGCUUUGAAGCUGGGACGCUAGUUCUAGUGGAGCCAACGUUGAAAUACCACCCUGGUGUGUUUGAGGUUCUAACCUAGGUCCCUAAUCGGGAUCGGGGACCGUGCAUGGUAGGCAGUUUGACUGGGGCGGUCUCCUCCCAAAGUGUAACGGAGGAGUUCGAAGGUACGCUAAUUACGGUCGGACAUCGUGAUGAUAGUGCAAUGGCAUAAGCGUGCUUAACUGCGAGACUGACAAGUCGAGCAGAGACGAAAGUCGGUCAUAGUGAUCCGGUGG